AGUGAACGCUGGCGGUAGACCUAACACAUGCCAGUCGAACGGCAGCACAGUAAGAGCUUGCUCUUACGGGUGGCGAGUGGCGGACGGGUGAGGAAUACAUCGGAAUCUACUUUUUCGUGGGGGAUAACGUAGGGAAACUUACGCUAAUACCGCAUACGACCUACGGGUGAAAGCAGGGGAUCUUCGGACCUUGCGCGAUUGAAUGAGCCGAUGUCGGAUUAGCUAGUUGGCGGGGUAAAGGCCCGCCAAGGCGACGAUCCGUAGCUGGUCUGAGAGGAUGAUCAGCCACACUGGAACUGAGACACGGUCCAGACUCCUACGGGAGGCAGCAGUGGGGAAUAUUGGACAAUGGGCGCAAGCCUGAUCCAGCCAUACCGCGUGGGUGAAGAAGGCCUUCGGGUUGUAAAGCCCUUUUGUUGGGAAAGAAAAGCAGCAGGUUAAUACCCCGCUGUUCUGACGGUACCCAAAGAAUAAGCACCGGCUAACUUCGUG
rnacentral:rRNA from 1 species